UACGUAGGGGCUAGCGUUGUCCGGAAUCAUUGGGCGUAAAGCGCGUGUAGGCGGUUCGGUAAGUCCGCUGUGAAAGUCGGGGGCUCAACCCUCGGAUGCCGGUGGAUACUGUCGGACUAGAGUCCGGAAGAGGAGAGUGGAAUUCCUGGUGUAGCGGUGAAAUGCGCAGAUAUCAGGAAGAACACCCGUGGCGAAGGCGGCUCUCUGGACGGUACUGACGCUGAGACGCGAAAGCGUGGGGAGCGAACAGG
rnacentral:rRNA from 1 species